AGAGUUUGAUCAUGGCUCAGAACGAACGCUGGCGGCAGUAACACAUGCAAGUCGAACGCGUGUAGCAAUACACGAGUGGCGCACGGGUGAGUAACGCGUGGAUAUCUGCCUUUUGGUUCGGAAUAACCCCGGGAAACUGGGGCUAAUACCGGAUGGUUCCUACGGGAUAAAGAUUUAUCGCCAAAAGAUGAGUCCGCGUACGAUUAGCUAGUUGGUGAGGUAAUGGCUCACCAAGGCGACGAUCGUUAGCUGGUCUGAGAGGACGAUCAGCCACACUGGGACUGAGACACGGCCCAGACUCCUACGGGAGGCAGCAGUGGGGAAUAUUGGACAAUGGGGGCAACCCUGAUCCAGCCAUGCCGCGUGAGUGAUGAAGGCCUUCGGGUUGUAAAGCUCUUUUGGCGGGGACGAUGAUGACGGUACCCGCAGAAUAAGCCCCGGCUAACUUCGUGCCAGCAGCCGCGGUAAGACGAAGGGGGCUAGCGUUGUUCGGAAUUACUGGGCGUAAAGCGAGUGUAGGUGGUUUUCCAAGUUGGAUGUGAAAGCCUUGAGCUCAACUCAAGAAAUGCAUUCAGGACUGGAAGACUAGAGGACCGGAGAGGAUAGUGGAAUUCCCAGUGUAGUGGUGAAAUACGUAGAGAUUGGGAAGAACACCAGUGGCGAAGGCGGCUAUCUGGACGGUUUCUGACACUAAGACUCGAAAGCGUGGGGAGCAAACAGGAUUAGAUACCCUAGUAGUCC
rnacentral:rRNA from 1 species